rnacentral:rRNA from 1 species
UAACAGGGGGUGCGAGCGUUAAUCGGAAUUACUGGGCGUAAAGCGUGCGUAGACGGCUAUCUAAGUCGGGUGUGAAAGCCCGGGCUCAACCCUGGGAAUUGCAUUCGAGACUUGAAUAGCUAGGGUACGGUAGAGGGAAGUGGAAUUUCCGGUGGUAGCGGUGAAAUGCGUAGAUAAUCGGAAGGAACAUCAGUGGCGAAAGCGACUCCUGGACCAGUACCGACGUCAGGCACGAAAGCCGUGGGGGAGCAAACAGGG